rnacentral:rRNA from 1 species
AGUGGCGGACGGGUGAGUAACACGUAAGAAUUUACCUUUAGGAGGGGGAUAACAAUCGGAAACGAAUGCUAAUACCCCAUAUGCUUUUGAGUGAAAUGGAUUUAUUCGCCUAAAGAGAAGCUCGCGGCUGAUUAGCUUGUUGGUGAGGUAAAAGCUUACCAAGGCGACGAUCAGUAUCUGGUUUGAGAGGACGAUCAGACACACUGGAACUGAGACACGGUCCAGACUCCUACGGGAGGCAGCAGUGGGGAAUUUUCCGCAAUGGGCGAAAGCCUGACGGAGCAAUACCGCGUGAGGGAAGACUGCCUAUGGGUUGUAAACCUCUUUUUUCAGGGAGGAAAAAAAUGACGUGUACCUGAAGAAUAAGCAUCGGCUAACUCCGUGCCAGCAGCCGCGGUAAGACGGAGGAUGCAAGUGUUAUCCGGAAUCACUGGGCGUAAAGCGUCUGUAGGUGGUUUAAUAAGUCAACUGUUAAAUCUUGAGGCUCAACUUCAAAAUCGCAGUCGAAACUAUUAGACUCGAGUAUAGUAGAGGUAAAGGGAAUUUCCAGUGGAGCGGUGAAAUGCGUAGAUAUUGGAAAGAACACCGAUGGCGAAGGCACUUUACUGGGCUAUUACUAACACUCAGAGACGAAAGCUAGGGUAGCAAAUGGGAUUAGAUACCCCAGUAGUCCUAGCUGUAAACUAUGGAUACUAGA